AUAAAAUCUAAUGAUUUCUUAUAGGAAGGCUAGGCUUGGUGGGUACAAGUAAGAAAGCCAAGCAGAGAGAAGUCUGGACUUUGCCUUCUCCACUUCCUUGGAAGACAGGCUGCUCAUCCCAUUGUGGUGCCUCGGCUGGUGUAUGUUUUCUGCCUAGGCUUAACGGACAGCACCAGGAGGUAGGGACUGACACUACCCAUGUUUUACAGUGGAAGAACCUGAGGCUUAAAGAGAUCCUGAGCUUUAAAAUAGCUAGCCAAACGAAAACACCAAUGGAGACUCUUUGGAAGGGACUGUGCUCAGUCUGAGGACCCAGAGCCAAGUCACAGACAUGACCUCAAAAGCCAGUACUGUGCUCUUCCACAUGGCAUCCACUGGCCACGUGUGGUGAUUUAACAUGUGAAAUGAAGUCUCAAGGCUGAGAUGUGAUGCGAGUGUA
rnacentral:lncRNA from 1 species